CGAAAGCCUGACGGAGCAAGACCGCGUGGGGGAGGAAGGUUCUUGGAUUGUAAACCCCUUUUCUCAGGGAAGAACAAAAUGACGGUACCUGAGGAAUCAGCAUCGGCUAACUCCGUGCCAGCAGCCGCGGUAAUACGGAGGAUGCAAGCGUUAUCCGGAAUUAUUGGGCGUAAAGCGUACGUAGGUGGCGAUUCAAGUCUGUGGUUAAAGCCUGCAGCCUAACUGCAGAAAGGCCAUGGAAACUGAAACGCUAGAGUGCGAUAGAGGUAAGGGGAAUUCCCGGUGUAGCGGUGAAAUGUGGAGAUAUCGGGAAGAACACCAGCGGCGAAAGCGCCUUACUGGACCGCAACUGACGCUGAGGUACGAAAGC
rnacentral:rRNA from 1 species